rfam:Camelus ferus unplaced genomic scaffold scaffold595, whole genome shotgun sequence.
CCAAAGGCCCUUUUCAGGGCCGCCCACAACUUUCGGUAAAGGAGCCU